rnacentral:antisense_RNA from 1 species
ACCAUUCCUUGAGUUACAUUAAAACCUUUAUGUUCCAAUUAGCUAGGAAGUUGGUGUGUAGGUGGUGCAUGAAAUUUUCUCUUUUUUCUUUUUGAUCUCUUGUA